GGUGAGCUGUCCGAGUGGCCGAAGGAGCACGCCUGGAAAGCGUGUAUGUCGUAAGGCAUCAAGAGUUCGAAUCUCUUGCUCACCGCCA
rnacentral:tRNA from 3 species